UACGUAGGGUGCGAGCGUUAAUCGGAAUUACUGGGCGUAAAGCGUGCGUAGGCGGUUCGCUGUGUCCGAUGUGAAAGCCCCGGGCUUAACCUGGGAAUGGCAUUGGAAACUGGCGGGCUUGAGUGCGGCAGAGGGGGUGGAAUUCCGCGGUGUAGCAGUGAAAUGCGUAGAUAUGCGGAGGAACACCGAUGGCGAAGGCCAAUCCCCUGGGCCUGCACUGACGCUCAUGCACGAAAGCGUGGGGAGCAAACAGG
rnacentral:rRNA from 1 species